AACGAACGCUGGCGGCAUGCCUAACACAUGCAAGUCGAACGAGACCUUCGGGUCUAGUGGCGCACGGGUGCGUAACGCGUGGGAACCUGCCCUUAGGUUCGGAAUAACUCCCCGAAAGGGGUGCUAAUACCGGAUAAUGUCUUCGGACCAAAGAUUUAUCGCCUUUGGAUGGGCCCGCGUUGGAUUAGCUAGUUGGUAGGGUAAAAGCCUACCAAGGCGACGAUCCAUAGCUGGUCUGAGAGGAUGAUCAGCCACACUGGGACUGAGACACGGCCCAGACUCCUCGGGGAGGAGGAGGGGGGAAAUAUGGAAAAGGGGGCAAGGGCUUGACCAGCAAUGGCGGGGGGGUGGUGAAGGGCGUGGGGUUGGAAAAGCUUUUUUCCCCGGGAUGAUAAGGACGUUCCGGGGAAAAAAACCCCCGCCAACCCCCGUC
rnacentral:rRNA from 1 species